CUUAUCCCGAAGCUCCAAAGCAAACGUCUUUUACUUCUUCGCCGGGGACGCUGCUGUGCCACCGCUGCCUCCCUUUUGAAUUCUCCUGGGCUCGGUCAGCUGCUGAGAUUAGGUAAACAGCGCCCCGGAGCCGGGGCAGAGCCGGCGCUGCUGCUGCUGCUGGUGGGGGUCGUUGUUUCACCAGCCUGGGGGGAAGUGGGAUGGGAGGAAGGGUCCCUCCCAGCUGGGUCCAGCCAAGGGCUGAGAGUGCGGUUACCCAGGCGGGAGCCUGGUCCGGAACCGAGCAGGGGCCAAGUCUUGGAAGCCCUUGCCCCACCCCCACCCUAUCCCCACCAGCUCGACCUCGAGGAGCGGGGUCAGCUCGGGACUUCGAGCUCUGGGGGCGGCCUUUUCCCCCGCGCCCCCUCCCCAUUCAUUCUUCCCUUGCCCCUUCCAAGAACUAGGGUGGGCUUCCCGCUGCUUCGCCGGAGUCCCGGAGCGCCGAGAGGCGCGCAGAAGGGAGGCAGAGACCCGGCCGCCCGCCCCGCAGGGGGAGGGCUGGAGACCCGGGGGGGAAGGGGACCCCAGAAGCCCUGGGAGAGAGCUGGGGAAAAAUCCGGGAGCUGGAUCGCGCGCUCGGAGCUCCGGUCUCCGAGUCGGAGUUGUGCAGCCCUCGGCGUCCUCUUUCUCUCCCUGCCUCUCCGCUUUCCUCUCCUCUGGGUCUUCUCUCCAGGGAGGCAUCCUCUUUCCAUCCAUUCUCACGCCCCCGCGUCCCGACCCAUUUCACCCACUCCCCCUGUGGCUUGGGAGGACUCUCGGCACCCCUACCCUCGUCCCGAGGACUGGGAGGCUGGAAGUCCAUUCAAGGGACGUUGCGCGCCUGGUUCUUAUGCCAGGAGGGAAAGAGCGAGAAUAAAAUCAGCAGGGGAGGGGCUUGGUGUGCGCGCACCGGGUGUGCGUUUGGGGUGGGGGAAACAGAAAUGUAGUUCCCCCAGAGGAAUAGGAAGCCUUAAACGGGAUUCUCGGAAACCGAGCCCAAAAAGAUGCCGUCAGAGCCCUUCACCGGGGCUCCUCACGGACUCAUGCUGCCCCGUACCCUGCCCAGCUCUGAGAGAAGCGGCGACCCGAGGCGGGGAAACUUCCUACUUCCCACCACGGCUGUUUUGUGCAAUUUGGGGAGAAGGCUGCCCGGCCCUGCAAGCCAGCGAGCGUCUCUACCGCGGCAGCUGCGGGCCCGUCCCGCUUCCCUUCCCCCUCUUUUCGCGAGGCACGCCAAGCCCGAGGCGGCCGCGAGCGGCCGGGCUGUGGGGGGAGAAGGGCGGGGAGCUUCCAGCUUGCACCCUUUCAUCCGGACCCGGCCCGGGAUCCCGGCUCCGGGUGUUGCUUCCGCCUGCCUGCCCGCGAGCUGAAGAAGCACAGGGGAGGAGUCUCGCCGGGGGGGGCGGAGCCUGUGCGGGGGUGCCUGUUGGUCCGUGCGGCUACGGCGCUUGCCAUUGGUCGGCCUCUCGGUCACGGGGUCGGGGGCGGGCCCCGAAGCGGGCGCCGGCCCCGCCCCCGCUCGGAACCCAGCCCCGGCUCGCGGUCCCCCCCGGCUGCACAGACAUGACACAGACACACAGUCACUGCAGCUGCUGA
rnacentral:lncRNA from 13 species